UAUGUGAUCGUCUCUCGCAUAUCAAUAAGCGGAGGAAAAGAAACUAACAAGGAUUCCCCUAGUAACGGCGAGUGAAGCGGGAAGAGCUCAAAUUUGAAAUCUUAAAGGGUUUCCCUUUACGAAUUGUAGUUUAAAGAAGUGUUUUCUGUUGAGGUUUUGGUAAAAGUUCUUUGGAAUAGGACAUCAUAGAGGGUGAGAAUCCCGUAUUUGACCUUUACUUUCAACUUUGUGAUACACUUUCAAAGAGUCGGAUUGUUUGGGAAUGCAGUCCAAAAUGGGUGGUAAAUUUCAUCUAAAGCUAAAUAUUGGCGAGAGACCGGUAGCGAACAAGUACCGUGAGGGAAAGAUGAAAAGAACUUUGAAAAGAGAGUUAAACAGUACGUGAAAUCGUCAAAAGGGAAGCGUUUGACACCAGUGUUGUUUUUCUGAAAAUCAAUUAAAGAACUGUUUAUGCUAAGUUGUUUAGACUUUAUCAGCUAUCUGUUUAGUUUUGAGCUUUUCUUUAAUGCACUUUUCAGUUAACAAGUCAACAUCAAUUUCUUUUGCUGUAAAAAAGCUUGAGGAAGGUGGCUUGAGAUUCGUCUUAAGUGUUCAUAGCCUCUUGCCUAUGCAGUCGGAGAGAUUGAGGUCUGCAGCGUAGAUCCUUCGGGGCUAAAUGCAUUUGUGCUAAGUUAUAGCAUUUUAUAGACAACUUGUUGACUAUGAUUUGUCUUGUAGCUUACUCGCUUAUGUUAUUUUACCUACGCUUAGGAUGUUGAUAUCGCGCUCUCACUG
rnacentral:rRNA from 1 species